GACGAACGCUGGCGGCGUGCUUAACACAUGCAAGUCGAACGGAAAGGCCCUGCUUUUGUGGGGUGCUCGAGUGGCGAACGGGUGAGUAAAACGUGAGUAAACUCCCCUUGACUUUGGGGUAACAUCAGGAAACUGGGGCGAAUACCGGAUAGGAGCUCCUGCUGCAUGGUGGGGAUUGGAAAGAUACGGCGGUUGGGGAUGGACUCGCGGCUUAUGAGCUUGUUGGUGGAGUAGGGGCUUACCAAGGCUUUGACGGGUAGCCGGCCUGAGAGGGUGACCGGCCACAUUGGGACUGAGAUACGGCCCAGACUCCUACGGGAGGCAGAAGUGGGGAACAUUGCACAAUGGGCGGAAGCCUGAUGUAGCAACGCCGCGUGCGUGAUGACGGCCUUCGGGUUGUAAACCGCUUUCGCCUGUGACGAAGCGUGAGUGACGGUAAUGGGUAAAGAAGCACCGGCUAACUACGUG
rnacentral:rRNA from 1 species